rnacentral:rRNA from 1 species
UACGUAGGGGGCAAGCGUUGUCCGGAAUCAUUGGGCGUAAAGCGCGUGUAGGCGGUCCGAUAAGUUCGCUGUGAAGGUCGGGGGCUUAACCCUCGGAUGCCGGUGAAUACUGUCGGGCUUGAGUACGGAAGAGGCGAGUGGAAUUCCUGGUGUAGCGGUGAAAUGCGCAGAUAUCAGGAGGAACACCAAUUGCGAAGGCAGCUCGCUGGGACGUUACUGACGCUGAGACGCGAAAGCGUGGGGAGCAAACAGG